rnacentral:rRNA from 1 species
AGAGGAACCCCAUCAAACUUGGAUUUUGUAAGUAGUUGCGAAUGAACACAAAUUUGAUCACUUUGGCAAUCUGUACACAUUGCUGUGUAACAAUUUGUAUACGUUGGCACAGUGCUAUCAAAGCUGCAUGCAAGUGUUUUUUGAAAGGAUACAACAUGGGAUGUGAUAUUCAUGUGUGUGUGCCUGCUUUGUCCACAGCCUGUGCUGUAUGAAUCACAUUUCUUGCAACUGAAAUGCUAAUGGCAUGGUAAAGUUCAUGUGACAUGACACAAGCUUGAGAUUCAUGAUGUGCAAGUACCAUGAGGGAAAUGUGAAAAGGACUUUGGAAAGAGAAUUAAAUAAAGCCUGCAUUUGCUGACAAUGAAAGCAAGUGUGGAUGUUCAUGUAAUUGUUACUGCAUCAAUCAAUGUUCAUCUUGGUUACUGCAUGCUUUAUAUUACAGCUCAGAACAUGAAGUGUGUGUAACAGCUCUGCUUUGAUUUUUCCCACAUGGGAUCAGUUGAAACAUUGUGAGAGCACUCUUCAGUUUCCUUAUGUACCCACCAGCUUUGUCCACUCGCGUGUUGGCACACAUGUAAUGAUGAUGUGUUUAUGCAAGAUACUUCUGUGCUCAACAACAUGGUGUGUCAAUCCUCACUUGAC